CCUACGGGGGGCAGCAGUGGGGGAUAUUGCACAAUGGGGGGAACCCUGAUGCAGCGACGCCGCGUGGGUGAAGGAGUGCUUCGGCAUGUAAAGCCCUAUCGGCAGGGAAGAAGCAAGACGGUACCUGACUAAGAAGCCCCGGCUAACUACGUGCCAGCAGCCGCGGUACUACGUAGGGGGCGAGCGUUAUCCGGAUUCACUGGGUGUAACGGGCGCGUAGACGGCCAUGCAAGCCAGGGGGGAAAGGCCGGGGCCCAACCCCGGGACUGCCGUUGGAACUGCAUGGCGAGAGGGCGGGAGGGGCAGGCGGAAUUCGUGGUGUAGCGGUGAAAUGCGUAGAUAUCAGGAGGAACACCGGCGGCGAAGGCGGCCUGCUGGACCGCGACUGACGUUGAGGCUCGAAAGCGUGGGGAGCGAACAGGAUUAGAUACCCCAGUAGUC
rnacentral:rRNA from 1 species